CCUCAUUCAAAAUGUCUCUUUUACCCCUCAGCUUCUUCAUCUUCUUCAUCACACUAUCUGCCAUUGUUGCUUCUGCUGCAACUGUACAGACACUUAAUACAAAUCAGCAGCAUUCAAAUGAUAAAGGUUACACCUUUCAUAACCCAAAGCUUCCACCUAAAACCCUCACCACUUCCAAGAAGUUUGAAGGUUCGUCGGAGCUUGUCAACCUCCGAUACCAUAUGGGUCCUGUUCUUUCUUCUCCGAUCAGCAUUUACCUCAUAUGGUAUGGAAAGUGGGCCCCUACCCAGAUGUUGUUGAUCAAAG
rnacentral:lncRNA from 1 species